AUGGAAGUGUUGAGAAAAUUUGUGCAAAGUGAGCUGCGCAAUCCUCCCACAACCCUCGCGCCUAGCGCUUUUGUGUCGUCCGCCGCCGAGGCAACCCGCCGACUCCUCCUCAGCGCCGUCAGCUCCAGCGACCGCCUCCCACCCCUCACCGUCAAACUGCUCCACGGCCGCCUCCUCCGGCUUGACAUCCUCGCCGACCUUUACACGUACCUCCUUCGCGCGCUCUCCUCCUCCGGCCUCCACCUCCAUGUCCUCUGCCUAUACUCCCUCCUUCCCAACCCCUCCCACCUGGCCUUGCCGGUAGCCCUCAAGUCCGCCUCCCGCCUCCGCAACCCUCUCAGAGUCGGCGAGCAGCUGCACGCGCGCUCCCUCAAGCUCCCUUCCGACUCCACCCCCCGCAUUCUCACGUCCCUGCUAAAUCUGUACGCUAAAUGUGGGCUUUUGCAACACGCACGGAGCGUGCUCGAAGAAAUGCCCUGCCCCAGCACAGUCUCUUGGACCGCACUCAUCGCCGCGUAUAUGCACGCGGGGCGUGCCAGGGAAGCUGUUGCCGUUGCGAGGGAUGCGUUCGCUAGUGGAAUGCGUCCGGACAGCUUCAUGGCUGCGCAGGUCCUGACCGCGUGCGCCCGGGUCGCCGAUUUGGGCACCGGGGAGGCAGUGUGGAGGACUGCAGAGCGGGAGGGGAUAGCGAGCAGUGUGUUUGUGGCAACUGCAGCGGUGGAUUUGUAUGUCAAGUGCGGUGAGAUGGCCAAGGCAAGGGAGGUGUUUGACAGGAUGCCGGAGAAGGAUGUAGUGGCUUGGGGUGCUAUGGUUAGCGGAUACGCUUCCAACGGGCAUACGCAAGAGGCUCUGCAGCUCUUCUUUGCAAUGCAGGCUCAGGGAGUGAGACCAAAUUGCAGGACAGUAGCUGGUGCACUCUCAGCGUGCACGCAGUUGGGUGCAUUUGAUUUGGCACAGCAGGUUGUUGCUGUGGUGGACUGGGAUCAGCUUCUUGACAACCCAGUUCUAGGGACUGCGUUGAUCGAAAUGUACUCCAAGUUUGGGAGCAUGGGCGAGGCAUGGUUCGUGUUCCAGCAGAUGAGAAGGAGGGGCAUUACUGUUUGGAACGCAAUGGUUUUGGGGCUCAGCAUGACUGGACAUGAUAAGUCUGUGUUUGCCCUUGUCGGUAAAAUGGAGAAGUCGGGCAUGAAAUUGAAUGACAUAACUUUCAUGAGCCUUCUCUACUGCUGUACUCAUGCCGGCCUUGUACAAGAUGGACGCCGCUACUUCCAUAACAUGACUCAGUUAUACCGCAUUGCUCCUAGGAUUGAGCACUACGGUUGUAUGGUUGACCUUCUCAGUCGCGCUGGGUUGCUCAAGGAGGCUCAUCGGCUUAUUAAUGAAAUGCCAAUGCAGGCAAAUGUUGCCGUCUGGGGUGCACUUCUUGGUGGCUGCAAGAUUCACCGAGACGCAGAGCUUGCAGAACAUGCCUUGAAACAGCUCAUUCUGCUAGAGCCAUGGAACUCUGGGAACUAUUUCAUGCUCUCCAACAUAUACUCUAAUGGCGGCAGAUGGAAGGAUGAUGCAAAGCUUAGAUUGCACAUGAAGGCGAUAGGGGUCAAGGAGGUCCCCGGAUAUAGCUGGGUUGACUUUGAUGGUAAGGUCCACAAGUUCCAUGUUGGAGACAACUGGCAUCCCCUCAUGGAUCAAAUAUACAAAAAGCUAGAUGAAUUAGGCAUGGAAAUGAAAGCCAUAGGUUACAAACCAACUACUGAUGAGGAGAAGGAGCAUCCUCUAGUUCAUCACAGCGUGAAACUCGCCGUUGCAUUUUGCCUUCUCACCACCAGUCCAGGGGAGGCCAUUAGGGUCAUCAAGAACACCAGGGUUUGCACCGACUGUCACACUGAUAUUAAACUUAUAUCGAGGAUAGCUCAUCGGGAGAUCAUUGUUCGGGAUAACAGCAGGUUUCAUUGUUUCAGAGAUGGCUGUUGCUCUUGUAAUGACUACUGGUAG
rnacentral:rRNA from 1 species